rnacentral:rRNA from 1 species
UACGGAGGAUCCGAGCGUUAUCCGGAUUUAUUGGGUUUAAAGGGAGCGUAGGUGGAUUGUUAAGUCAGUUGCGAAAGUUUGCGGCUCAACCGUAAAAUUGCAGUUGAAACUGGCAGUCUUGAGUACAGUAGAGGUGGGCGGAAUUCGUGGUGUAGCGGUAAAAUGCUUAGAUAUCACGAAGAACUCCGAUUGCGAAGGCAGCUCACUAGACUGCAACUGACACUGAUGCUCGAAAGUGUGGGUAUCAAACAGG